GCCGCUGUAGCUCAGCUGGUAGAGCAGGCGCUUCGUAAGCGUCAGGUCGUCCGUUCGAGUCGGACCAGCGGCACCA
rnacentral:tRNA from 3 species